rnacentral:rRNA from 1 species
UUGACGGGACCCGCACAAGCAGCGGAGCGUGUGGUUUAAUUCGUUGCUACACGAAGAACCUUACCUGGGUUUGACAUAUAGGUUGUAGGGAACUGAAACGGGACCGACCCUUCGGGGAGCCUAUACAGGUUGUUGCAUGGCUGUCGUCAGCUCGUGUCGUGAGAUGUUCGGUUAAGUCCGCUAACGAGCGCAACCCUCGUCGUAUGUUAUAUGUGUCAUACGAGACUGCCGGUAAAAAGCCGGAGGAAGGUGAGGAUGAUGUCAAGUCAGCAUGACCUUUAUAUCCAGGGCUACACACACGCUACAAUGGUCUGUACAAUGGGUAGCCAAGCCGCGAGGCGGAGCCAAUCCUGAAAGCAGGCCUCAGUUCAGAUUGCAGUCUGCAACUCGACUGCAUGAAGCCGGAGUUGCUAGUAACCGCAGGUCAGCAAUACUGCGGUGAAUACGUUCCCGGGUCUU